rnacentral:rRNA from 1 species
UUGUGAACAUACCUAUAACUGUUGCUUCGGCGGGUAGGGUCUCCGCGACCCUCCCGGCCUCCCGCCUCCGGGCGGGUCGGCGCCCGCCGGAGGAUAACCAAACUCUGAUUUAACGACGUUUCUUCUGAGUGGUACAAGCAAAUAAUCAAAACUUUUAACAACGGAUCUCUUGGUUCUGGCAUCGAUGAAGAACGCAGCGAAAUGCGAUAAGUAAUGUGAAUUGCAGAAUUCAGUGAAUCAUCGAAUCUUUGAACGCACAUUGCGCCCGCCAGCAUUCUGGCGGGCAUGCCUGUUCGAGCGUCAUUUCAACCCUCAAGCUCUGCUUGGUGUUGGGGCCCUACAGCUGAUGUAGGCCCUCAAAGGUAGUGGCGGACCCUCUCGGAGCCUCCUUUGCGUAGUAACUUUACGUCUCGCACUGGGAUCCGGAGGGACUCUUGCCGUAAAACCCCCAAUUUUCCAAAGGUUGACCUCGGAUCAGGUAGGAAUACCCGCUGAACUUAAGCAUAUCAAUAAGCGGAGGA